rnacentral:lncRNA from 1 species
CAGAAAACCAAUUUUCAGAAAUUGAGAUUACCAAUUCUGGUCCUAUUUAAGACUGGGGAGAAAAUGAAAAAUUCUGAAAUGUCUGCAAGGCUGGAGAGCAGUUUUCCACUGCGCUCUCCUCAGAUGAGAUUGCAGAAAUUCUUCUGUUUUCUUCUUCCUCCCUGGCUCUGCCACCAGGCAAUUCUGUUCACACUGCUCUCCAAGACAAAAUCUGAGCCAGGCUGAGAUUUGUGCUGAUGUCUUCUUGGACCAGUUCCCACCGACUGAAUCUGUGGAAGGCACCAUCCUCUACUGGUCCCUGCUGUGGGCAUUGGGAGGAUGCUCCUCCAUGCAUUUCACUGGCUGAAGUUCCUCUUCCUUGGCACAGCAGCAGCGGAAUGCAGGUGGCAGUGAGGGGCUCCAGGUGCUGGUGUUCUCCUUCUGCAGGAGGACACCCCACUCCUACAUCCCUGUGCUCCAGCCUCCUUCAUGCCAUGUGUCCCACCAAGGGAGACAAACAGCAAUUGUGACAGCUGACAGCAGUGUUUCCUGUGGAGCUUCCACAGAAACAGCCCCACAUUCCCAGGCUAACAACUGGGUACCUGUCUGAAAAUGGAGGACAAGGAAUUUACUGUAAAGAAAAAAAUCAGUGGCAGCCCUGCUGUAUUUA